rnacentral:rRNA from 1 species
CCUACGGGUGGCAGCAGUGGGGAAUAUUGCACAAUGGGGGAAACCCUGAUGCAGCGACGCCGCGUGAAUGAAGAAGUAAUUCGUUAUGUAAAGCUCUAUCAGCGUGGAAGAAAAUGACUGUACCUGAGUGAGAAGCCCCGGCUAACUACGUGCCAGCAGCCGCGGUAAUACGGAGGGGGCCAGCGUUAUCCGGAUUUACUGGGUGUAAAGGGAGCGUAGACGGCAGUGCAAGUCUGGAGUGAAAGGCGGGGGCUCAACCCCAGGACUGCUGUUGAAACUGUACGGCUGGAGUGCAGGAGAGGUAAGCGGAAUUCCUAGUGUAGCGGUGAAAUGCGUAGAUAUUAGGAGGAACACCAGUGGCGAAGGCGGCUUACUGGACUGUAACUGACGCUGAGGCUCGAAAGCGUGGGGAGCAAACAGGAUUAGAUACCCUUGUAGUC